GACAGAGGGUGCAAACGUUGCUCGGAAUUACUGGGCGUAAAGCGCGUGUAGGUGGAUUGGUGUGUCAGAUGUGAAAUCCCUGGGCUCAACCCAGGAACUGCACCUGAAACUACCAGUCUUGAGUGGUGGAGAGGGAAGUGGAAUUCCUGGUGUAGAGGUGAAAUUCGUAGAUAUCAGGAAGAACACCGGUGGCGAAGGCGCUCUGCUAGGCCGUAACUGACACUGAGGGACGAAAGCUAGGGGAGCGAAUGGG
rnacentral:rRNA from 1 species